AGAGUUUGAUCCUGGCUCAGAUUGAACGCUGGCGGCAGGCCUAACACAUGCAAGUCGAGCGGUAGAGAGAAGCUUGCUUCUCUUGAGAGCGGCGGACGGGUGAGUAAUACCUAGGAAUCUGCCUGAUAGUGGGGGAUAACGUUCGGAAACGGACGCUAAUACCGCAUACGUCCUACGGGAGAAAGCAGGGGACCUUCGGGCCUUGCGCUAUAAGAUGAGCCUAGGUCGGAUUAGCUAGUUGGUGAGGUAAUGGCUCACCAAGGCUACGAUCCGUAACUGGUCUGAGAGGAUGAUCAGUCACACUGGAACUGAGACACGGUCCAGACUCCUACGGGAGGCAGCAGUGGGGAAUAUUGGACAAUGGGCGAAAGCCUGAUCCAGCCAUGCCGCGUGUGUGAAGAAGGUCUUCGGAUUGUAAAGCACUUUAAGUUGGGAGGAAGGGCAUUAACCUAAUACGUUAGUGUCUUGACGUUACCGACAGAAUAAGCACCGGCUAACUCUGUG
rnacentral:rRNA from 1 species